UUUAUCUGAUUUAGGAUAAAAAUCAUUGUUAUUUCUUCACAUUUUCUUUGCAAAAGAAAAAGCCAGCAGGAAUCCUGCACUGUCAGCGAUUCUUGGGGAACAGAACAAGAAGUCCUUUGGAGUCAGCCACGACUCAGGGAUUUUACAGGUAUAUAGCAGAUUUUUCCAUGGGCCUCAAGGAUCUGGGAUUGCAGAACGCCAGUUUUACCAGUAAAGAUCAAGGUGAAGAUGGCAUUGAGUACUUCGACUUUUUGCAUGUCCUUUGUUACCAGGUCUCCCAUCCCACUCAGCAGCAGUCCCACAUUUUCCCUAGGCUUUCUUUUGCUUCUGAUACACCUGUAGAAGCUUUUCUUAUUGCCCUUCGUGACUCUCCACAUUCAACUCCAGUCACGUGCUCCUUGUUCAUCCAUGUAGGCCUCCUGCCACCUCUGCUUGAUUUCCUGAACAAGGAGAUGGACUGUUCUUGAGCUUGGAGGAGGUGAUCCUUGAAAAUCAACCAGCUUUUCUGGACCUGUCCUUUCCCCGGAACUGUCUCCCAUGACAAUCGUCCAAGCAGAUCUGUGAACAGGCCAAGGUCUGCUCUCUCUUCGUUUCUCCCAAGUUAAACAGAGCUCUGGAGAUUAACAGAAAGUAUGUUUUAAGCUACUUUGUGAUCUUUCAGGUGCUAUACAUGGGAGCUGAGCUUCAGACAUUGCUACACAGCUUGCAGGAUGUUGAGUCUGUGUCCUGUUUCUUCUUGUGCCACAAUCAACCCCACUUUUGAAUUGCGGUUAUAUACCUCAUGUCCAUUCCUGGUUUUGAACAGUGUGUCCAUACAGAAGCAACCAUCUUCCCGUAGUCAGUGUGUUGCUCUGCUAAACUAAUGAAGCUCUCUAAGGAUAUACCUUCACUGCUCAAAGGAGUGCAAAGCAGAAGGUUCCCAAGCUUGUGCCUAGUCAAGCUGGCAUGUCCACCCUGCACUGUAUGGAGACACCAAUCCCUGGCAGAAAUAUAGCUUAAUAUAGCAUUUCUUAAAUUAAGUCAUGCCUACCAAUGUUCUUUUCGCUGUUGCAUAUGAAGAUCAUAUUGUCAUGGCUGCAGUAUUUGGUAGCUUCCUGUGACUGUGUGACCUAAAAGAAUUCCUGUUAAGUACAUGAACCUAAUCUUGGGAAAAAUACAAAUAGCAUGAAGUGUAAUGGUACAGAGCCCCAUUACUCAAUUUCUGACUCCUACUCUGCUGAUAUUAAUCACCUGUGACAAUCUCUGGUAGAAACAUCUGACACACAAUGCAGGCAAAUUGGGUAGAAUAAAAUUAAUGUUUACAUUUCCAUUAUGAAAUUGUAUUCAUGUGGCAUAAGCUGAUUGAGAUUAUCUAAAAUAUACCUGUUUGGCUUUCUGUCAAAACAAUUUUAGAGCGCUUUAAAGAUUUUUCUUUGUGUUGUAGAUUAAAUAUCCAUUCCAGGACUCCAAUACCAUUAAUUUCUCACAAGCUGUUUAAUUACAAUGCACAUUAGUUUCACAAGAAGAGUAAUUACUUUUUAUUGUAUUAAUACACUUGUCAUAUGUAAAAUCAAGAUUUGAGUUUUUUUCUAAAAGCAUAACCUCUAUAUUUUCUAAGCUGCAAAGGAGACUUGGAAGUGAUUAAAGUGAUAAAAGAUCCACAAGUUAGGAUUUUUUUCCUUAGGAAGAUCAAACUCUUUCUGUUAAAAUCCUAUUCUAAUUGCUCUUGCUGUCACAGAAAGCAACAUGAGUUUUUCUCAGCACCUUUACUAGUAGUUAGAUGACAUCCAUAUGAUUAAUUUGACUUUUGGAAUUACUGUUCGUGGUAAAAAUAUUAAAAGACGAAGCAUCUUUGAAGGCAGAUGAAAUAAACACAAAAAUUAUGGAAUCUAAAUGUCAGUCUCCUUGGGAAAGAAAUGCUAAAAAUACUAACUCAUGUGAAGAUGCAAUUAAACUCUUGAAGUGGUUCUAAGUAUUUUCUAUGUGGUUGCAGGGAGUGAGAUUCACAGAGUAGUAAAAUAUUACCUGAAAAAUUGCUAGCAGUGGGAAAUCAUGCCCAAAUCACAUGCUUGAGAAUAUUAAUAUUGAAGUUGGUGAUCUGUCAAUCUGUGGGGCAACAGCUUUUAUUUAAAACAUUCUGUCUGAGAUACUAAAAUGUGCUCAAAAGAUUCCGAUUAAAAUAUUUGUUUGUCUGAAAUCUUUAGGUUUUGAAAAUUUCAAGCUCCUUUGUUUACUCUGUAUCUUUAUGAAUUUAAGAUCUUUUUGUGCUGAAUUGCAGUACAUUGCAUUUUGUAUUUUGCUAUUAUUAUUUAAGUUUUCAGCUAUAGGUUUGCUUCAUUCUAGAAGGAAAUACCAAUCACUAAUUACAGAAGCCAGCCAAGCAAACAUUAAGUCAUAAAACCUUGUUCUUAAACUCAUUUUCUCUAUCUUCUUCCCAUUCCUCUUGCCUACUGAAUCUAUCCCUUUACCUAGAGAAAAAUAAAUUUUCAUAGGUACUAAUAUUUCCUGACCAUUUUCCCCAAAAUGCUAAUCAAAUCAUGAAGUGCGGACAAGAAAAAAUUAAAAUGAUAUCAAAUACCUGCAAAUUA